rnacentral:rRNA from 1 species
UACGGAGGGUGCGAGCGUUGUCCGGAAUCACUGGGCGUAAAGGCGCGUAGGCGGCCUUCUAAGUCGAACGUGAAAUCCCUGGGCUCAACCCAGGAACUGCGUCCGAUACUGGUUGGCUUGAAUCCGGGAGAGGGAUGCAGAAUUCCAGGUGUAGCGGUGAAAUGCGUAGAUAUCUGGAGGAAUACCGGUGGCGAAGGCGGCAUCCUGGACCGGCAUUGACGCUGAGGAGCGAAAGCCAGGGGAGCAAACGGG